GCGUACCAGUAACGCGAUACGGAGCAGUAUCUCAGUAAAGUAACCAACACAACAAACAAAUGCUUGUUCUUUGUGUUUAGUUCUGAACGUGUGAGUAAUACAUCCCCACAUGUCCUGGAGUGGGGAUAGCCCGGCGAAAGCCUGAUUAAUACCGCAUACAAUCAACGGAUGAAUUCGGGGACCUUCUGGCCUCGCGCUAUAAGGUUGGCCGAUGGCUGAUUAUCUACCUGGUGGGGUAAAGGCCUCCCCGGCGACUAUCAAAACUGGUCUGAUAGGACGACCAGCCACUCUGGCACUGAUAUCGGACCAGGAGGCCUACGGGAGGCCCCACCGGGCCAAUUUCGGACCCCGCGCGAAAGCCUGAUCCAGCAAUGCCGCGUGUGUGAAGAAGGCCUUCGGGUUGUAAAGCAUUUUGUCCGGAAAGAAAUCCUUGGCUCUAAUACUGUCGGGGAUGACGGUACUUGAAGAAUAAGCACCUGCUAACUACAUGCCUGCAGCCGCGGUAAUACGUAGGGUGGGAGCGUUAAUCGGAAUUACUUGGCGUAAUCCGUGCCCAUUACAGUUUGCUGAGACCGAUGUUCAAUCCCCAGGCUUAACCUGGGAACUGUUUUGGUGAUUGGCAUGCUACACCUAAGACAGAAGGUGAGUUGACAUUUUCGUCGAUUCUUUUGAUAAGAAAUUUAUAAUUUGUUGUUUAUUAUUUCAUGCUUCCUCUUUGUUCUAAUCUUGAUCCACUCUUCGAAUUGU
rnacentral:rRNA from 1 species